ACUAGUUCAGCUCCCUGACCGCACUCACCGAUGCAACAACGUGCUUGCGCUCCAGGCCCGAAGGAAAGGACCAAGGCCAAGAAGGACAAAGCCCAAAGGAACUUUCCAUGAUACAUAGGAAAACUGCACCUCCACCUGUGACUAAAUACAGAAGAGAUAAAUGUGUGUGAAACAUCCAUGAAGAAGUAAACACUCUUAUUAGUUGCCCAUGUGGAUACCCAGAUCCCAGUGAGAAGGCAGGCAAUGGAACUAGGCCAGGAGACUGACAGAAUGGCAGCCCAUGAAUGAAGGACAAAGGGAGAAGAGCUGAGCAUCAAAGGG